rnacentral:rRNA from 1 species
GAUGAACGCUGGCGGCGUGCUUAACACAUGCAAGUCGAACGAAGCACCUCUCCCGAAGAUUGACACAGCUUGCUGUAGAUUGAUUCAUUUGAGGUGACUGAGUGGUGGACGGGUGAGUAACGCGUGGGUAACCUGCCUCAUAGAGGGGGACAACAGUUGGAAACGACUGCUAAUACCGCAUAGUAAGAAGAAUUCGCAUGUUUUCUUCUUGAAAGAUUUAUCGCUAUGAGAUGGACCCGCGUCUGAUUAGCUAGUUGGUAAGGUAACGGCUUACCAAGGCGACGAUCAGUAGCCGGGUUGAGAGAGUGAACGGCCACAUUGGGACUGAGACACGGCCCAAACUCCUACGGGAGGCAGCAGUGGGGAAUAUUGCACAAUGGGGGAAACCCUGAUGCAGCGACGCCGCGUGAGUGAAGAAGUAUUUCGGUAUGUAAAGCUCUAUCAGCAGGGAAGAUAAUGACGGUACCUGACGAAGAAGCCCCGGCUAACUACGUG